rnacentral:rRNA from 1 species
GAUGAACGCUGGCGGCGUGCCUAAUACAUGCAAGUCGAGCGAACAGACGAGGAGCUUGCUCCUCUGACGUUAGCGGCGGAAGGGUGAGUAACACGUGGAUAACCUACCUAUAAGACUGGGAUAACUUCGGGAAACCGGAGCUAAUACCGGAUAAUAUAUUGAACCGCAUGGUUCAAUAGUGAAAGACGGUUUUGCUGUCACUUAUAGAUGGAUCCGCGCCGCAUUAGCUAGUUGGUAAGGUAACGGCUUACCAAGGCAACGAUGCGUAGCCGACCUGAGAGGGUGAUCGGCCACACUGGAACUGAGACACGGUCCAGACUCCUACGGGAGGCAGCAGUAGGGAAUCUUCCGCAAUGGGCGAAAGCCUGACGGAGCAACGCCGCGUGAGUGAUGAAGGUCUUCGGAUCUUAAAACUCUGUUAUUAGGGAAGAACAAAUGUGUAAGUAACUAUGCACGUCUUGACGGUACCUAAUCAGAAAGCCACGGCUAACUACGUG